CUUGGUCAUUUAGAGGAAGUAAAAGUCGUAACAAGGUUUCCGUAGGUGAACCUGCGGAAGGAUCAUUACCGAGUGAGGGCCCUCUGGGUCCAACCUCCCACCCGUGUUUAUUUUACCUUGUUGCUUCGGCGGGCCCGCCUUUACUGGCCGCCGGGGGGCUCACGCCCCCGGGCCCGCGCCCGCCGAAGACACCCUCGAACUCUGUCUGAAGAUUGAAGUCUGAGUGAAAAUAUAAAUUAUUUAAAACUUUCAACAACGGAUCUCUUGGUUCCGGCAUCGAUGAAGAACGCAGCGAAAUGCGAUACGUAAUGUGAAUUGCAAAUUCAGUGAAUCAUCGAGUCUUUGAACGCACAUUGCGCCCCCUGGUAUUCCGGGGGGCAUGCCUGUCCGAGCGUCAUUGCUGCCCUCAAGCCCGGCUUGUGUGUUGGGCCCCGUCCUCCGAUUCCGGGGGACGGGCCCGAAAGGCAGCGGCGGCACCGCGUCCGGUCCUCGAGCGUAUGGGGCUUUGUCACCCGCUCUGUAGGCCCGGCCGGCGCUUGCCGAUCAACCCAAAUUUUUAUCCAGGUUGACCUCGGAUCAGGUAGGGAUACCCGCUGAACUUAAGCAUAUCAAUAAGCGGAGGA
rnacentral:rRNA from 1 species